CCCUUAGAUGUUCUGGGCCGCACGCGCGCUACACUGACGAAUGCAACGAGCCUAUAACCUUGGCCGAAAGGUCUGGGUAAUCUCCAAAUUUCGUCGUGAUGGGGAUAGAUUAUUGCAAUUAUUAAUCUUCAACGAGGAAUGCCUAGUAAGCGCAAGUCAUCAACUUGCGUUGAUUACGUCCCUGCCCUUUGUACACACCGCCCGUCGCUCCUACCGAUUGAAUGGUCCGGUGAAGCGUUCGGACCGUGGCCUUUGGACGGUUCGCCGUCUGUUGGCUGCGGGAAGUUCGUUAAACCUUAUCAUUUAGAGGAAGGAGAAGUCGUAACA
rnacentral:rRNA from 1 species